rnacentral:rRNA from 1 species
GUAAACGCUGGCGGCGUGCCUAAAACACGCAAGUCGGACGGAUCGGGCUUCGGCCCGGUCAGUGGCGGACGGCUGAGUAGCGCGUGGGCGACCCGCCCCGCUGUGGGGAACAACCGCCCGAAAGGGUGGCUAAUACCGCAUGCGCUCCCGGAUUCGGUUCCGGGAGGAAAGCUCGGAGCGAUCCGAGCGCGGUGGGAGGGGCCCGCGUCCGAUUAGGUAGUUGGUGGGGUGACGGCCCACCAAGCCCGUGAUCGGUCGCUGGUCUGAGAGGAUGAUCAGCCAGACUGGGACUGCGAACGGCCCAGACUCCUACGGGAGGCAGCAGUUAGGAAUUUUGGGCAAUGGGCGGAAGCCUGACCCAGCAACGCCGCGUGGGUGACGAAGGCCCUCGGGUCGUAAAGCCCUUUUCCCGGGGACGAUGAUGACGGUACCCGGGGAAGAAGCACCGGCUAACUACGUGCCAGCAGCCGCGGUAAUACGUAGGGUGCGAGCGUUGCCCGGAUUCAUUGGGCGUACAGCGCGCGCAGGCGGAGCAGCGCAUCCCGCGUGAAAUCGCCCGGCUCAACCGGGCGGGGUCGCGGGCGAUGGCUGCUCUGGAGCACGGGAGGGGGCAGUGGAAUUCCCGGUGUAGUGGUGGAAUGCGUAGAGAUCGGGAGGAACACCAGUGGCGAAGGCGACUGCCUGGACCGUGGCUGACGCUGAGGCGCGAAAGCGUGGGGAGCGAUCCGGAUUAGAUACCCGGGUAGUCCACGCCGUAAACGAUGUCGACUAGGUGUCGGGGGUAUCGACCCCCCCGGCGCCGGCGCUCACGCAUUAAGUCGACCGCCUGGGGACUACGGCCGCAAGGCUAAAACUCAAAGGAAUUGACGGGGGCCCGCACAAGCAGCGGAGCGUGUGGUUCAAUUCGAUGCAACGCGCAGAACCUUACCUGGGCUUGACAUGCACCUGGUACCGAGCCGAAAGGCGAGGGACCCGCGAGGGAGGGUGCACAGAUGCUGCAUGGCUGUCGUCAGCUCGUGCCGUGAGGUGUUGGGUUAAGUCCCGCAACGAGCGCAACCCCCGCCCCCAGUUGCCAUCUCCGGGGGGACCGCCGGUACAAACCGGAGGAAGGUGGGGAUGACGUCAAGUCAGCACGGCUCCCACGCCCAGGGCUACACACACGCUACAAUGGCCGGUACAGAGGGCCGCGACCCCGCGAGGGCGAGCCAAUCCCACCAAAGCCGGCCCCAGUUCGGACGGCAGGCUGCAACUCGCCUGCCCGAAGGCGGAGUUGCUAGUAACCGCCGGUCAGCACACGGCGGUGAAUGCGUUCCCGGGCCUUGUACACACCGCCCGUCACGUCAUGAAAGUCGGACACGCCUGAAGCCCGUGGCCCGACCCUCUUCGGAGGGGGGGAGCGGUCGAGGGCGGGGCCGGCGAUUGGGACG